rnacentral:rRNA from 1 species
UUGAAAGGGAAACGAUUGAAGUCAGUCGUACCAGCGGGAAAUCAACCUUUCGAGCGGUUUUUGGAGUUUUGAAGAGUGUCAAAACCUUUGAGAUUUCAAAAUUUUCGCUCCUUUGGUGUACUUUCUCGUGGGUAGGUUAACAUCGAUUUCGAUCAUCAUAAAAGGAUUGGAGGAAUGUAGCUUCGAUCUUGUAUUGAAGUGUUAUAGCCUUUGGUAAAUGUGAUGAUUAGGAUCGAGGAUUGCAACGAAUACCCUUCUGGGCUAUCCGCCUGAUCUCUGAUACGUGGCCUUGGCAUCGAAAGCUUGCUUAUGGUAUCAAGGUAUUACGGUCAAAAGGUUAGAACGGAUUACAUUCGUUAAGGAUGUUGACGUA